GAUGAACGCUGGCGGCGUGCCUAAUACAUGCAAGUCGAGCGAAUGGAUUAAGAGCUUGCUCUUAUGAAGUUAGCGGCGGACGGGUGAGUAACACGUGGGUAACCUGCCCAUAAGACUGGGAUAACUACGGGAAACCGGGGCUAAUACCGGAUAACAUUUUGAACCGCAUGGUUCGAAAUCGAAAGGUGGCUUCGGCUGUCACUUAUGGAUGGACCCGCGUCGCAUUAGCUAGUGGGUGAGGUAACGGCUCACCAAGGCAACGAUGCGUAGCCGACCUGAGAGGGUGAUCGGCCACACUGGGACUGAGACACGGCCCAGACUCCUACGGGAGGCAGCAGUAGGGAAUCUUCCGCAAUGGACGAAAGUCUGACGGAGCAACGCCGCGUGAGUGAUGAAGGCUUUCGGGUCGUAAAACUCUGUUGUUAGGGAAGAACAAGUGCUAGUUGAAUAAGCUGGCACCUUGACGGUACCUAACCAGAAAGCCACGGCUAACUACGUGCCAGCCGCCGCAGUAA
rnacentral:rRNA from 1 species